AGUGAACGCUGGCGGUAGGCCUAACACAUGCCAGUCGAACGGCAGCACAGUAAGAGCUUGCUCUUACGGGUGGCGAGUGGCGGACGGGUGAGGAAUACAUCGGACUCUACUUUUUCGUGGGGGAUCACGUAGGUAAACUUACGCUAAUACCGCAUACGCCCUACGGGUGAAAGCAGGGGAUCUUCGGACCUUGCGCGAUUGAAUGAGCCGCUGUCGGGUUAGCUAGUUGGCGGGGUAAAGGCCCACCAAGGCGACGAUCCGUAGCUGGUCUGAGAGGAGGAUAAGCCACAUGGGAAGUGAGACACGGACCAGACUACUAAGGGAGGGAGCAGUGGGGAAUAUGGGACAAUGGGCGCAAGCAUGAUACAGCCAUAGCGCGUGGGUGAAGAAGGCGUUCGGGGCGUAAAGACCUUUUGUUGGGAAAGAAAAGCAGCAGGUUAAUACCCAGCUGUUGUGACGGUAACGAAAGAAUAAGCACCGGCUAACUUCGUG
rnacentral:rRNA from 1 species